rnacentral:rRNA from 1 species
AUUGAACGCUGACGGAAUGCUUUACACAUGCAAGUCGAACGGCAGCACGGACUUCGGUCUGGUGGCGAGUGGCGAACGGGUGAGUAAUGUAUCGGAACGUGCCCAGUCGUGGGGGAUAACGUAGUGAAAAUUACGCUAAUACCGCAUACGAUCUAUGGAUGAAAGCGGGGGAUCGCAAGACCUCGCGCGAUUGGAGCGGCCGAUAUCAGUUUAGGUAGUUGGUGGGGUAAAGGCCCACCAAGCCAAUGAUCUGUAGCUGGUCUGAGAGGACGACCAGCCACACUGGAACUGAGACACGGUCCAGACUCCUACGGGAGGCAGCAGUGGGGAAUUUUGGACAAUGGGCGAAAGCCUGAUCCAGCCAUUCCGCGUGCAGGAUGAAGGCCCUCGGGUUGUAAACUGCUUUUGUACAGAACGAAAAGGUUUCUACUAAUACUAGGAGCUCAUGACGGUACUGUAAGAAUAAGCACCGGCUAACUACGUGCCAGCAGCCGCGGUAA